rnacentral:rRNA from 1 species
GACGAACGCUGGCGGCGUGCUUAACACAUGCAAGUCGAACGAUGAAGCCGGAGCUUGCUCUGGUGAAUUAGUGGCGAACGGGUGAGUAACACGUGAGUAACCUGCCCUUGACUCUGGGAUAACUGCUAGAAAUGGUAGCUAAUACCGGAUACGACCCUCGGAGGCAUCUCCAGGGGGGGGAAAGAAUUUCGGUCAAGGAUGGACUCGCGGCCUAUCAGCUAGUUGGUGAGGGAACGGCUCACCAAGGCGACGACGGGUAGCCGGCCUGAGAGGGUGACCGGCCACACUGGGACUGAGACACGGCCCAGACUCCUACGGGAGGCAGCAGUGGGGAAUAUUGCACAAUGGGCGCAAGCCUGAUGCAGCAACGCCGCGUGAGGGAUGACGGCCUUCGGGUUGUAAACCUCUUUUAGUAGGGAAGAAGCGAAAGUGACGGUACCUGCAGAAAAAGCACCGGCUAACUACGUGCCAGCCGCCGCAGUAA